rnacentral:misc_RNA from 1 species
GGAAGGAUCAUUCACAUUCUAAAACUUCACCCUGUGAACCAGCCAACACUAAAUGGCGCCGUAAGGCUGACCGAUCUGUGUUGGCUACUCCAGUGCUUCCGUCUGUAACAGCCAGAAAUGGCGAAGAGCGCUGGCGCGCCUUGGCGUGCUCGACAGACAACAUGUGGUGGUAUUAUACAAGAUUUAUCUAAAGCUUUAUUAACUAUCAGCGAUGGAUGUCUUGGCUCCCACAACGAUGAAGGACGCAGCAAAAUGUGAUAAUCAUUGUGAAUUGCAGAAUUCAGUGAAUCAAUAGAACGCUCAACGCACACGGCACUGUAGCUUGCUACAGUAGGUCUGUUUCAGAGUCAUUUGCAAUCUCCCCAAACAAUACUUGUAUUGCUAUUGAGGAGGCAAGGUGCUGCUUGAUGUAAAUCUGGCAGUCGCAGAGUUCUAUGAUAGUUCGAUUUCAAACAUGUUCGAUAACGUUGUUGGAACUGAACGCUAUAUCAUAGCCUACUUUUAUACAUGACCUGAAAUCAGUCCAGGCUACCCGCUGAACUUAAGCAUAUUAUUAAGCGGAGGAAAAGAAAAUAACUAUGAUUCCCUUAGUAGAGGCGAUUGAACAGGGAAAAGCACAAAAUGUAAAUCUCAGCGCAAGCUGCGAAUUGUAGUCUCCAGACACGCUACCAUCGUUCCUGCAGGGAUAAUUUCUCUUGAACGAGAGACCAUAGAGGGUGAGAGUCCCGUCUUUGCUCUGCAAUGGAAUGUAUACGGUACGUGCUCAAAGAGUCGCGUUCUUUGGGAAUAGAGCGCUAAGUGGGUGGUAAAUGUCAUCUAAUGCUAAAUAUUGGUGGGAGACCGAUAGCGAACAAGUACCGUGAGGGAAAGAUGAAAAGAACUUUGAAAAGAGGGUUAAAAGUGCCUGAAAUUGCUGGUAGGGAAGCGGAUUGUAUUGUCCUUGUUAAGGGGUAUGGCACAUGAGAAGGAUGAAACCUAGAGUGCACCGCAAGGGUAUCUCUGGAUGUAGGCUCAUUGUGUGUCUGUUUGCCCCUUAGCUUAGUCUGCGUCGGUUGUGACUGUGUAAUAACCCUCUGCUGAUGCGCCUCGGCGUAUUAGCAGAGAAGGACGACACGGAUGCUGCCGAAGUCGUGAAUGCGGCGUGCAGACAAACCGAUGCAAUCCGACCCGUCUUGAAACACGGACCAAGGAGUCUAACUUUUGUGCGAGUGUGCUGGUAGAACACCAGUGCGCGUAAUGAAAGUGAUAGCAUGGAAAUUUGCACAUGCGACCGACCAUGUGGCGGUUUACUGCCCGAGGUUUGAGUAUGAGCAUAAAGGUUAGGACCCGAAAGAUGGUGAACUAUGCCUGAAUAGGGUGAAGCCAGGGGAAACUCUGGUGGAGGCUCGUAGCGAUACUGACGUGCAAAUCGUUCGUCAAAUUUGGGUAUAGGGGCGAAAGACUAAUCGAACCAUCUAGUAGCUGGUUCCCUC